UACACCUGAUUUGUUACGAAGGCCAAGAACAGUACCGGACUUACUCGCCGGCGGAAGAAAUUCCACCGGAGAGUCAACGGCAGUGAAUAUCAGGCCGUUAAAGUUGACGAAGUUGCUGUUAAAUGUAACGAUUCAAAGGAGUGUUGGACCUGUACAAGUACUAAUAUCGUUGGAAUCAACGGUUGAUGAUCUUAUUGCUGCAGCUUUACGGCAGUACUCGAAGGAAGGAAGAAGGCCGGUGCUUUCUUCCGUUAACGCGGGUUAUUAUGAUCUUCAUUACUCGCAGUUCAGCUUAGAAAGUAAGACUUAAUUACUUUCCUUUUCUAAUUUAAGACUUAAUUAGUUCCUUUUCUAAGUUACAAAUUUAUGCUUUUUUACAAAAAGAAAAAACUUAUGAUUUAGUUUUGCCAAUAUCUUAUGCAUAGCAAAAGUUUUAAGUUGAUUUUUUUUUUUUUUCAUAAAUCGUUUAUUUAAAGUAAAAAUCAAUUAUAAUAAGUUCACUUGUAUGAUUUAGAACAAAAUGAUCUAGUACUAGUAAGUACAGUAUAUGACAUUCUUUUGUUUACUUAAGCUCUGGAUUUAUAAGUUAUGGUUAUACAAUAGUAUAGCGAAUUGUUUUCUUAUUUUUAAUUUUUGAAACAAUUAUUUGUAUUUAUUUAUUGAAGCUUUACAAAAUUAGGUUAUAUAUAUGAUACUGAUGUUCCUGAAACAAAUAAAUAUUUCAGAUGUUCAUGUGACACCAUUCACUUUUAGCCCAUUUCAAAAAAUUAAUACUCCGGAGUGUUCUUUUAUAUCUAGUAGUAACACAAUUUGAAAUUUCUAUGUCUAAUUUUAUUAAAUUACAAGUUCUUUUAGAAAGGAUUCUUAAAUUUUGUGUCAGUCAAACACUUUUAACUGAGACAAACAUCAAACAAUAAUAAUAACAAUAUACUUAUUUGUAAUUUUACAAGUAAAAUUUGACAAAAGCAUAAUGUAUAGAGAUUUUACCUCUGAAUUUGUGGAGCCGAAAAAUUACUUCAGCUAAAUCGUCAGCUUAAAUUUGAGAUGGAGAGUAAAUGAAUUCGAUUUGGUAAUUAUAAAUGAGUGUAUGAAGUUUUUCUAACGAUCAAAUUAUGAGUACUUGAUUUAUUAUUAGGAGAAACUUGUUAGUUCAGUUGGCUGGUCUGGACUAUCUAAACUUUCAUGUUUCUCCUGCC
rnacentral:lncRNA from 1 species